UACGUAGGGUCCGAGCGUUGUCCGGAAUUACUGGGCGUAAAGCGCGCGCAGGCGGCCCGCGAGGUGUCACGUGAAAGCCCCGGGCUCAACCCGGGAGGGUCGUGGCAAACCGGCGGGCUUGAGGCCGGUAGAGGUGGGUGGAACUCCUGGUGGAGUGGUGAAAUGCGUAGAGAUCAGGAGGAACACCAAUGGCGAAGGCAGCUCGCUGGGACGUGACUGACGCUGAGACGCGAAAGCGUGGGGAGCGAACAGG
rnacentral:rRNA from 1 species